rfam:Brachypodium distachyon strain Bd21 chromosome 1, whole genome shotgun sequence.
ACUGUACUCUCUCCGUUCAACAAAAGAUGUCUCAAGUUUGUCAAAAUUUAGAUGUAUCUAGACAUAACUAGUGUAUAGAUGCAUUCAAUUUUUGUCAAAAUUGAUACAUCUUUUGUUGGACGGAUGAAGCAAGAG